UACGAAGGGGGCUAGCGUUGCUCGGAAUGACUGGGCGUAAAGGGCGCGUAGGCGGAUGGCACAGUCAGAUGUGAAAUUCCUGGGCUUAACCUGGGGGCUGCAUUUGAUACGUGUGAUCUAGAGUGAGGAAGAGGGUUGUGGAAUUCCCAGUGUAGAGGUGAAAUUCGUAGAUAUUGGGAAGAACACCGGUGGCGAAGGCGGCGCUCUGGACCGAGACUGACGCUGAGGCGCGAAAGCGUGGGGAGCAAACAGG
rnacentral:rRNA from 1 species